rnacentral:rRNA from 1 species
AGACCCGAAACCCGGUGAUCUAGCCAUGGGCAGGUUGAAGGUUGGGUAACACUAACUGGAGGACCGAACCGACUAAUGUUGAAAAAUUAGCGGAUGACCUGUGGCUGGGGGUGAAAGGCCAAUCAAACCGGGAGAUAGCUGGUUCUCCCCGAAAGCUAUUUAGGUAGCGCCUCGUGAAUUCAUCUCCGGGGGUAGAGCACUGUUUCGGCUAGGGGGCCAUCCCGGCUUACCAACCCGAUGCAAACUGCGAAUACCGGAGAAUGUUAUCACGGGAGACACACGGCGGGUGCUAACGUCCGUCGUGAAGAGGGAAACAACCCAGACCGCCAGCUAAGGUCCCAAAGUCAUGGUUAAGUGGGAAACGAUGUGGGAAGGCCCAGACAGCCAGGAUGUUGGCUUAGAAGCAGCCAUCAUUUAAAGAAAGCGUAAUAGCUCACUGGUCGAGUCGGCCUGCGCGGAAGAUGUAACGGGGCUAAACCAUGCACCGAAGCUGCGGCAGCGAACGUAUCACUUAAAGCGAUUCAGCGGGUUACGAUUGACGGAGCGAAGCGACGUCAAAGCGUAUACAAAGUCGAGUCGGUUUAAGGAUACGUUCGUUGGGUAGGGGAGCGUUCUGUAAGCCUGUGAAGGUGUGUCGUGAGGCAUGCUGGAGGUAUCAGAAGUGCGAAUGCUGACAUAAGUAACGAUAAAGCGGGUGAAAAGCCCGCUCGCCGGAAGACCAAGGGUUCCUGUCCAACGUUAAUCGGGGCAGGGUGAGUCGACCCCUAAGGCGAGGCCGAAAGGCGUAGUCGAUGGGAAACGGGUUAAUAUUCCCGUACUUGGUGUUACUGCGAAGGGGGGACGGAGAAGGCUAUGUUGGCCGGGCGACGGUUGUCCCGGUUUAAGCGUGUAGGUGUGUGUUCCAGGUAAAUCCGGUUCACUUUAACACUGAGGCGUGACGACGAGGCACUACGGUGCUGAAGCAACAAAUGCCCUGCUUCCAGGAAAAGCCUCUAAGCAUCAGGUAACAUCAAAUCGUACCCCAAACCGACACAGGUGGUCAGGUAGAGAAUACCAAGGCGCUUGAGAGAACUCGGGUGAAGGAACUAGGCAAAAUGGUGCCGUAACUUCGGGAGAAGGCA